GAUGAACGCUGGCGGCGUGCCUAAUACAUGCAAGUCGAGCGAACAGAUGAGGAGCUUGCUCCUCUGACGUUAGCGGCGGACUGGUUAGUAACACGUUGAUCACCUAUCUAUAAUACUGGGAUAACUUCGGGACACCGGAGCUAAUACCUGAUAAUAUAUUUAACCGCAUGGUUCAAUAUUAAAAGACGGUUUUCCUGUCAUUUAUAUAUGUCUCCUCGCCUCAUUAGCUAGUUGGUAAGGUAACGGCUUACCAAGGCAACGAGGCUUAGCCGACCUGAUCGGGUGAUAGGCGAAACUGGAACAGAGAAACGGUGAAAAGUCCUAGGGGAGGAAGCAGGAGGGAAUCUACGGAAAUGGGCGAAAGGCUGAAGGAGCAAAGCCGCGAGGGUGAUGAAGGGAUUCAGAGCGUAAAACUCUGUUAUUAGGGAAGAAGAAAUGUGUAAGUAAAUAUGCACGUCUUGACGGUACCUAAACAGAAAGCCACGGCUAACUACGUG
rnacentral:rRNA from 1 species